GACGAACGCUGGCGGCGUGCUUAACACAUGCAAGUCGAGCGGUAAGGCCCUUUCGGGGGUACACGAGCGGCGAACGGGUGAGUAACACGUGGGUGACCUGCCCUCAGCUCUGGGAUAAGCCUGGGAAACUGGGUCUAAUACUGGAUAUGACUCCACGGUGCAUGUCGUGGGGUGGAAAGCCUUGUGCGGCUGAGGAUGGGCCCGCGGCCUAUCAGCUUGUUGGUGGGGUGAGGCCUACCAAGGCGACGACGGGUAGCCGGCCUGAGAGGGCGACCGGCCACACUGGGACUGAGACACGGCCCAGACUCCUACGGGAGGCAGCAGUGGGGAAUCUUGCGCAAUGGGCAAAGCCUGACGCAGCGACGCCGCGUGAGGGAUG
rnacentral:rRNA from 1 species